rnacentral:rRNA from 1 species
UNGGAGAGGAAAGUGGAAUUCCUAGUGUAGCGGUGAAAUGCGUAGAUAUUAGGAAGAACACCAGUGGCGAAGGCGACUUUCUGGACGAAAACUGACGCUGAGGCGCGAAAGCCAGGGGAGCGAACNGGAUUAGAUACCCCGGUAGUCCUGGCCGUAAACGAUGGGUACUAGGUGUAGGAGGUAUCGACCCCUUCUGUGCCGGAGUUAACGCAAUAAGUACCCCGCCUGGGGAGUACGACCGCAAGGUCGAAGCUCAAAGGAAUUGACGGGGGCCCGCACAAGCGGUGGAGUAUGUGGUUUAAUUCGACGCAACGCGAAGAACCUUACCAGGUCUUGACAUUGAUGGACAGAACCAGAGAUGGUUCCUCUUCUUCGGAAGCCAGAAAACAGGUGGUGCACGGUUGUCGUCAGCUCGUGUCGUGAGAUGUUGGGUUAAGUCCCGCGACGAGCGCAACCCCUAUCUUAUGUUGCCAGCACUUUGGGUGGGGACUCAUGAGAGACUGCCGCAGACAAUGCGGAGGAAGGCGGGGAUGACGUCAAAUCAUCAUGCCCCUUAUGACCUGGGCUACACACGUACUACAAUGGGAGUUAAUAGACGGAAGCGAGAUCGCGAGAUGGAGCAAACCCGAGAAACACUCUCUCAGUUCGGAUCGUAGGCUGCAACUCGCCUACGUGAAGUCGGAAUCGCUAGUAAUCGCAGGUCAGCAUACUGCGGUGAAUACGUUCCCGGGCCUUGUACACACCGCCCGUCACACCACGAAAGUCGGAAGUGCCCAAAGCCGGNGGGGUA